rnacentral:pre_miRNA from 1 species
UGCUCAGUAGUCAGUGUAGAUUCUGUCUUCAUCCAGCAGCUACAUCUGGCUACUGGGUCUC